GUGAGGAAUUUUCCGCAAUGGGCGAAAGCCUGACGGAGCAAUGCCGCGUGAAGGAUGAAGGCCUAUGGGUUGUAAACUUCUUUUCUCAGAAAAGAAUUAUGACGGUAUCUGAGGAAUAAGCAUCGGCUAACUCUGUGCCAGCAGCCGCGGUAAGACAGAGGAUGCAAGCGUUAUCCGGAAUGAUUGGGCGUAAAGCGUCUGUAGGUUGUUUAAAAAGUAUUCUGUCAAAGAUUAGGGCUUAACCCUAGAUAGGCAGAAUAAACUUUUAAGCUAGAGUUUGGUAGAGGCAGAGGGAAUUCCCGGUGGAGCGGUGAAAUGCGUAGAUAUCGGGAGGAACACCAAAGGCGAAGGCACUAUGCUGGGCCAAUACUAACACUGAGAGACGAAAGCGAGGGGAGCAAAUGGGAUUAGAUACCCUAGUAGUCC
rnacentral:rRNA from 1 species